rnacentral:rRNA from 1 species
AUGCACAUGCGGAGGUUGCAUCACCCGUUGCAUUGCAUGCACUGCCUGUCUUUAUCUUACAGCCAGGAGACGGUCUCAAGGAAGCAAACCACAAGAACCAACGCCGGUGCUGAAGUUGAACCGUCUCACCUUCUGAGCUUGGAGACCUUGCAAGCGGUGGAGAGGACGAUGGCGAUGAAGCGCCGCUCCGUGCUGGCUUUGCUCGUCGUGGCGUUCGUCGGAGGGAACCUGCUCCUCGGGGCCUCGUUUAGCGCCAGAAGCACGGUGAAGUCCUCAGCCUCAGACCCGGACUAUGGAACCGCUCAGCUAAACGGCAGGAGACUAAAGGAAAGUGGACACGGUGUUACCAACAGGAAGACUAGAAACUUACAAGAUGUGAAGGCUGAUGACUACCAACCUAUUGACCCAAGUCCAAGCUCGAAGGCAAGUAUUAGGCCAGCUCCAAUCGAGCAUGGCACUCCUCUUCUUCCUUAUGUGCCACGGUACCCGCCGCCUCCUGGUCAACCGAAGGAUGCGCGUUCUGCUCAAUCCGCUGCCUCUCCUGUCGCUUAG